AUUGAACGCUGGCGGAAUGCUUUACACAUGCAAGUCGAACGGUAGAGGGGGCAACCCCUCGAGAGUGGCGAACGGGUGAGUAAUAUAUCGGAACGUGCCCAGUCGUGGGGAUAACGUAGCGAAAGUUACGCUAAUACCGCAUACGAUCUAAGGAUGAAAGCGGGGGAUCGCAAGACCUCGCGCGAUUGGAGCGGCCGAUAUCAGAUUAGGUAGUUGGUGGGGUAAAGGCUCACCAAGCCAACGAUCUGUAGCUGGUCUGAGAGGACGACCAGCCACACUGGAACUGAGACACGGUCCAGACUCCUACGGGAGGCAGCAGUGGGGAAUUUUGGACAAUGGACGCAAGUCUGAUCCAGCCAUUCCGCGUGCAGGAUGAAGGCCCUCGGGUUGUAAACUGCUUUUGUACGGAACGAAAAGGUCUCUCUUAAUACGGGGGACUCACGACGGUACCGUAAGAAUAAGCACCGGCUAACUACGUGCCAGCCGCCGCGGUAA
rnacentral:rRNA from 1 species